CCCUUGUGCGACAUGUGCUGCCGGCCCCGGGCUCCAUGAGCGUGGCGGGCGGGCACUUGGCAGGGUCGGGUGCUCCCGUCCGGUGUGUUCUCUUGAUAAGCCGGCGUGGAGGGGAGAGAACUGGAGAGAGACGGGUGGGCUCGUGGCUUUCAUGGGACCGCAGGGAAGAGAACUAGCAGCGUGCCACGAGGCUCCCAGCAGCAGUUGGGGAAACAAGUCUUUAUCCCGGCUUGCAGCCACGAGGUCUUGAUUGGGGGAGGGGUGGGGAAGAAUAGUCCCUCGCUUGCUCUUUUCCUCUGGCUUGCACUGUACGGUAGAGUUCAGGGUCGAUGCUGGUCGUAUCCCAGUAAUUCUGGAGCACAUUAGUGCGUGCACGGAUCAGAAUCUUGGUGAUUUUUUCAACUUUAUUCCCUUAUACCUCCUAUCCACCCCCGACGUUGCUGGCCUGGCCCGGCCCUGUUGUCCUUGGUUUGGCAAGUGGAUGGGAGUGCCCUUUAGGAAGGUUAGAAGAAAGCAAAUUGGAACAGGUUUUAGAAAGUGGUAGCAAUUUUGAGUAAAUGUGCUUACCCUUUCUCUGUCUUCACCCCCACCCCCACCCUAGUCAUACACGUGGACCUAGCUAGCAGCACCAGAAGCUGUGCCCAGGGAUACUUGCUGAGAAGGAAGUUUGCCUGAGUGGUAUAUGCCAUUAUGGAGGACAGAAGAAAAGGGAUUGCUGCUUCCUGGAUCUGAAGUUUCCCUCUACAGGUAGUAUGAGUCAAACAGCUGCCCUGCUGAUAACACUUUUUUCUUUAUGUAUGCUAUGAUUUUGUGUGUGGGUUUGGGAAAGCCCAGUGCACCGGAGAGCCAACAUUCUAAGAGGUGCUGCUUGUAUUCCUUUGAAGAAUGCUGUUUUUAAGGCUUAAAUAUAUUCAAUUUGGAACUUGUGGCUUUUAGAUGAUUUUUCUCCUGUUUUGGUUUAAGCUGAAAUUUGCCACAGCUUUUAGAGCUUUGGGCUUGUUGCUUUGUCUAAUUAUUUAUUUCAAAUUUAGCAGGAACUUAAAGAGAGCAUCAACCUUGUGAAACUGAAGAUUGUGACCAGUCAGAAUAAUGUCAAAGUGCUUACAGUGCAGGUAGUGACAUGGACAUCUACUGCAGUGAAGGCACUUGUAGCAUUAUGGUGACAGCUGCCUCGGGAGCCACGGUGGGCUGCGAGCCGCGGUGAGGGCCUGCUGCUGCUGAGUGCUUUUUGUUCUAAGGUGCAUCUAGUGCAGAUAGUGAAGUAGACGAGCAUCUACUGCCCUAAGUGCUCCUUCUGGCAUAAGAAGUUAUGUCUUCAUCCGAGCCGAGCAAGCGUGUAGGGUCUUCACAGCUCUUGUUUGCAGCCCUCCGUCAGUUUUGCGUAGCUGCACUACAAGAAGCAUGUAGCUGUGCAAAUCUAUGCAAAGCUGACGGCGGCCUGUGUUUACUUCAAGUGCUCGUUGUGUCUCUGUUCUUUAACUAACUGUGCUUUUACUGCGGCGUAGAGCCCGCGAGCUGUGUCUGCGACAGCUUCCGCGGCACUAAAGUGCUUAUAGUGCAGGUAGUGGCCACUAUCUACUGCACUAGGAGCACUUGCAGUGCCGCCAGCUGCAGAGCCCCAGCCCCGGCCACCGCCCAGCCAAGCCGCCGGUCCCUGAGCACCGCUCUAUGGUUAGUUUUGCAGCUUUGCAUCCAGCUGUGUAAUACUCUGCUGUGCAAAUCCAUGCAAAACUGACUGUGGUGGUGAAAAGUCUGUAGAGAAGUGAGGGAAAAUCAAACCCCUUUCUGCACAGGUUGGGACUUGUCGCAAUGCUGUGUUUCUGUAUGGUAUUGCACUUGUCCCGGCCUGUUGAGUUUGGUGGGGAUUGUGACCAGAAGAUGUGAAAAUUAAAUAUUGCUGAAGAUGCCGUUUUCUACUGUAAAAAAAUAUAUAUAUAUAUAUACUCAAGAAAUGGAAUGUAUGAACACUUUUUGUAACACAUUGCGUUCAUUAGUGUAAAACAGGAUUUUUAAUUGAAAUUCAGUUUGUCUUGCUGUCGUUUCGCUUUUGGGUUUGCAUGCUAGACUUCCUAGGUAUUACAGUAUGGUAAAAGUUAAAAUGUGCCCUGGUAUGUGCCCAGGUUCACUCAGAACCUGGUAUGAGUCCAGGCUUAUUUUACUCAAACCCUUAUUCAACUGUGACUAACAGGAGUUGAGAAAAUUGCUUUCUUUGGAUGCCUGUAUAAAAAGGGUUUUUCUUUUAUUAAAGCAUGACGUUUAGGGUGAGGUAUUUCCUAAAUGUAUGAGUUCUUCGUGGCAGCGGUUAACAGGUAGUAGCUUCCACUCUGUUGUUAAUGGGUGAACCCUUUAAGUCAGAAUUACACUCAGACCGUUCUUAGCCAGUGACCCCUGAAAAGGGAGAGCGCGUUUGAGGGAAAGAUGACAAGCGGGUGAGAAAUGGAGCGACAGGUAUGCAAACACUCCCCUGGUGCCCCAGGAGUGUGUUACAAUCUGAAAAAGUCUCUCUUCAAGUUUGCAGUUAGUGUUCAUGAUAGAGUGUAUAUAUAUAGUUCCCUCUAGAUUUGGUGUUCCAAGCUGUGAGAAUAGAUGUCAAAAAUCAGCUCUAAGCUGAUAGUAUUUAAGCAAUUAUAUCUAUCACUUUGAGAAAAGGAUUAUUUUUAUUAAAUUGUCAUAGCCUUUGUAGUCAGCUCAUCUACAAACCUAAAUUUCCCAUCUCCUGUGUUCUUUUUACAAGAAAUGUAAGAAGCUUAGUAUUGGAUCCCUGGGCAGCAAGGUAAGAUUUCACAGAUCUGGAAUUGAUUGUAAGUGGUCAGAAUUAAAGUGGAAGUGCAAUCAUUUUUACCUGAGUUCUUGAACCUUUUGGCUUUUAGAUGAUCAGUGAAAAAAGAUUCCUUUGAAAUGACAAGUUCUAUAAUGUCAACAUGACACAUGUUCUCUAUAAAGGAAAGGAAAAUCUGUCAAAUGUUUGUGUUAAAACUUUUUGAAUGUGUUUAUCCUUUAACGUAGGAAGCCUGCUAGGUGCUUUUAGGUAUAAGUUUAAAAUUAGUAGGGUCUUAGCAUCAUGGAGCAUUGAGGCUGUAGUUAGUGGUUGUGCUCAGAAGGUUUUGACCUUGAAUUUUGAGAUUUAAUUCUAGUGAGUAAGGUGAUAAAAUGUUUUGUUGGGAGCCAGGCACUAAUGUGGGGUUUUUCAGCAAUUUUCUUUUCUCCCUUUCUUAAGUUUGGUUGAGUAGAUGGGGGACUAGUUGUUUAUGUUAUCUCAGAAUUCUAUAUGGAAGAACAGCUUCGGUCUCUUACACUUUUGAUCUUGUGGUAGCUUAGGCAUUGAAUAGUUCUUAAAUUCAUCCUAUAUUGAUAAGGAAGCACUAUUUAUUACUAAGAUGUUGAGGCUUUACAAAGUGUUGGUUUUACUAAAAGCCCUUAAGAUGUUUUAACAGGCAAACCUAAGCACAGAAAGCCAGCUGGAGUUUCCCUGUGUGUUUUGAAGAGUCAGUCCUACAUAAUUCCUGACACAGUGCAACCUGCAGCUGCCUGGAGAGAGAACAAUUCAAAGUCACUAAAGUCUGUUGUUUAUAUAAUGAAAUUCUGUUCUGUAACUGAUAACAUUAUGGAGCUUGUCUGGCUAUAGGGGAGUCUCUGCUAACGGUGGGAACAGCUUGGUGGGCAGUGUCCAUUCUGGGUGUGUAAGUUGCAGUAGGCAUGCCUCCUUACGACUUCCCGAUUCUUUUGUAUAGAGGCAACUGCUUUGCUCUGCACACUUGGUGAGGGUAAAUGACUUACAAUGUAUUGCCCGUUGUAUUGGACCUAUUCAGGAAGUAGGCCCAAUGAUUUUAAAGUACAGGGAGAUUAUUGACAAAGGUUUUAGUGGUAUUGUAAGGUACCUGGUUAAUGUGGUUACAGACUCGGGAGUGCUGUUCAAAUUGUUUUAGUGUUAAUAAAUACUGCGUUUGAACAUUUUAUGUACAUAAUGAUCAUGUCAAAAUAAAAUUAUCUUGUAGCACCA